GGUACAUGGCUCACACCUGAAUUCUAAAUGCCUUUGUCUGAAGUUGCGGGUGAGACAAAGAAAAAUAUUGUUGGAAAAUUUUAUUCUAAAAUUAAAGGAAUUUUGAAUAAUAAGGAGGAAUGUUUCAAGCUAGAAGAAGCUGCUACAUAACAGCAAAGACUCAGCAUGGGUGGAUGGACAAAGAAAAAACUGGUUCAUCUUGAGAGUUAACAACAACGAUGACGACGAUGACACCACCACCACCACCAACAACAACAACUCUAUGUGGGGCCAGAGAGCUAUGGGACUGAGAGGAGCAGCCGUGGAGCAAGAGUGGGGUGGAGGCAAUUCAAACCCCUGAAAUCUCAUCCUGAGAUCUGUAGAAGUAGGAAUACUGCCGCCUCUGCCCCAGGCCUGUAUGUACCUGUGCACGCAGUCCAGUG
rnacentral:lncRNA from 1 species